rnacentral:siRNA from 1 species
UGAUAUACUCCUCCACUGUAACCU